UGGCGGUUAAUGUAUUUGUGUUUUUGAAGUUUCAAAGCGAAAACUUUUGCCAAAGUUGUGAAUUUUGCAUUUUUUGUUUUAAUAUGUGAUAAAUAUUUAAAGUGAUGAAAUGUUAUAAUUGUGAUAAAAUAUUAUAGUGAAAGAAGUGUAUUUAUGCAGAAAGGAUCCAACGGAACGUGUUUAUAAAAAUUUACGUUACACUUUGGUCUCGCAAGCUGUCACACACUUUCAAAGGCGAAACAAAUUCGGACAGUUCGUACGAGAUUUGCGCCUGUUGAAAUCUGCAUUUUGCCGCUGCGGUGCUGGCGAGUGUGGGUUGUCAGCAUCCCGUUGGAGCCAUUCAACGUAUUUGGACAGCGCGAGUUCAUCAUAUAUUUAUAUAUUUUUAUUAUUCUAUGGAACUUUAUUUUAAAGCACUUCAAGUCCACUGUCAACGCUGACGACGAAUGACCCCAAUGUUUUGCAUCCGGCACUUACCUGGCUGACAGCCUAUAAAACCGUUGCCUUGAUAGCCAUCCACACAGCUGCAGUCGGCCACGUGAUUUGCAUUCAUACAGACCGCAUUUUGCGCGCAAGGAUUAUGCGCAUCACAAGGAUGCUGACAGCGUCGAUUGAUGCAAGCCUCCGUAAUAUCACAAUCGGAAUUUCGCGUACACUCAGCUACACGAAAAGGGCGGGAGAGGAAAGAGUAAUUCAUUAUUAAAAACUCUCACGCAAUCGUAUAACCAAAUAUAAAAAGUUCGUUUAUUCAGUUUCUUAUGCAAAAAUGUAUUAAAUGAAUGUAAUGAUCGUUUGCUUACUUGUCCUAUCCACGGGCGAGCAUUUAAUAGUCGGAUUACCUUCAUGCCCCUUGGGGCACGAACAUAUCGGCCGAUGCAUUUUCGCCACACACUUAGCAGUGGGCGCACAAACAUUUGCAAAUUCGCAAGGAUUAUGACAUAGACCCAUGUAACAUGCUUCGUUCUCAAUGCAAUCAUUGUUCGACUGACAUGGUUCCGGAUUCUUUGGUGAGCCGGGUGAUUCUACUUGUUAGAGGAGUUAGAGAGUAUAAGUGCGUGUAUGCGCUUGGACGCGUGUGAACCUGCAAGCCUUCAAUGAUGCUGCUGGUGUACAAAAAUCAUAAUUUAGGGUAAAUAUAUUAUGCGGGUAUAUGUAUGUACAUAGCACCAGCUGUGUUCAAACUCAAAUUGAUGACCUCGAAAGAGGCUGCUGCCGCCUAAUGAGGCGCCAACUUCCCACAGCGUUUGCUUGAAUUGAGCAGAAUAUGAGUACAAGUAAUAGCAAAAAAUUACGGUUGUACGCUACGUAGAAGCGGGCUUUCACAUAAAAUCAUGCAAAUCUGCGGAUAAUGAACUUUCUUCGAAGUUUCAAAGGAAAACGUGUAGAAAAAUGCUUGCUGGUCAUAAUACAAUAGUUAUCGAUUAUAUAAUGGCUUCAACGAAAUCGCUGCAAAUAUUAUGUAUGUAUU